CGCGUAGGCGGCUGGCCAAGUCUGGAGUGAAAUCGUUCGGCUUAACCGGACAAUUGCUUUGGAUACUGGUGAGCUGGAGGGAGGUAGGGGCAGGUGGAACUUCCGGUGGAGCGGUGAAAUGCGUAGAUAUCGGAAGGAACGCCGGUGGCGAAAGCGACCUGCUGGACCUUUACUGACGCUGAGGCGCGAAAGCCAGGGGAGCAAACGGGAUUAGAUACCCCGGUAGUCCUGGCCCUAAACGAUGGGGACUAGGUAGUGGACUUGACAUGGGUUCACUGCCGAAGCCAAAGUGCUAAGUCCCCCGCCUGGGGAGUAUGGUCGCAAGGCUGAA
rnacentral:rRNA from 1 species